ACAGUGCCACGGCCGUCUGAGCUAAGGGCUGAUAAAAAGAAAACCAGGGCGCAGAUUUCUGCGCCUUUUUU
rfam:Enterobacter aerogenes KCTC 2190, complete genome.